GGCACAAGUUCAAAGUAGAGUAGUUUAGUAGGGUCAGAUGAUGCUACUAAUCUACUCUACUUUGAAUUUGUGCCC
rfam:Haemonchus contortus, ISE/inbred ISE, WGS project CAVP01000000 data, contig: Hcontortus_32030